rnacentral:tRNA from 1 species
UUGUCUUGUAGUAUAUUAUUUAUUACCGUAAAUUGCAACUUUACCAAAACUACUAGUCAAGACAUAGUA